rnacentral:rRNA from 1 species
CAGUAGCCGCGGUAAUACGUAGGGGGCAAGCGCUAUCCGGAAUUGCUGGGUGUAAAGGGAGCGUAGACGGUUAAACAAGUCUGAAGUGAAAUGCCGGGGCUCAACCCCGGAGCUGCUUUGGGAACUGUAGAACUGGAGUGUCGGAGGGGUAGGCGGAAUUCCCAGUGUAGCGGUGAAAUGCGUAGAUAUUGGGAGGAACACCGGCGGCGAAGGCGGCUUACUGGACGACAACUGACGUUGAGGCUCGAAGGCGUGGGUAGCAAACAGGAUUAGAUACCCCGGUAGUCCCUGUCUCUUAUAC